rnacentral:rRNA from 1 species
GUGCCAGCCGCCGCGGUAAUACAGAGGGGGCGAGCGUUGUUCGGAAUUACUGGGCGUAAAGGGCGCGUAGGCGGCCGACUAAGUCAGACGUGAAAUCCCCGGGCUCAACCCGGGAACUGCGUCUGAUACUGGUUGGCUGGAGUCCGGGAGAGGGAAGCGGAAUUCCAGGUGUAGCGGUGAAAUGCGUAGAUAUCUGGAGGAACACCGGUGGCGAAGGCGGCUUCCUGGACCGGUACUGACGCUGAGGCGCGAAAGCCAGGGGAGCAAACGGGAUUAGAUACCCCCGUAGUCC